rnacentral:rRNA from 1 species
AGUGAAGCGGGAAAAGCUCAAAUUUAAAAUCUGGUAGUCUCUUUGGCUAUCCGAGUUGUAAUUUAGAGAAGUGUUAUCCGCGCUGGACCGUGUACAAGUCUCCUGGAAUGGAGCGUCAUAGAGGGUGAGAAUCCCGUCUCUGACACGGACUACCAGGGCUUCUGUGAUAUGCUCUCAAAGAGUCGAGUUGUUUGGGAAUGCAGCUCUAAAUGGGUGGUAAAUUCCAUCUAAAGCUAAAUAUUGGCGAGAGACCGAUAGCGAACAAGUACCGUGAGGGAAAGAUGAAAAGAACUUUGGAAAGAGAGUUAAACAGUACGUGAAAUUGUUGAAAGGGAAACGCUUGAAGUCAGUCGCGUUGGCUAGAAAUCAACCCGGCUUUUGCUAGGUGUACUUUCUGGCUUUAACGGGUCAGCAUCAAUCUUGAUUUGUGGAAAAGGGCCUAGGGAAUGUGGCAUCUUUGGAUGUGUUAUAGCCCUUGGUCGUAUACACUGGUUGGGAUUGAGGAACUCAGCACGCCCUCUGGGGUUGUGUUAAGGAUGCUGGCAUAAUGGCUUUAAUCGACCCGUCUUGAAACACGGACCAAGGAGUCUAACAUGCCUGCGAGUGUUUGGGUGGAAAACCCAAGCGCGCAAUGAAAGUGAAAGUUGAGAUCCCUGUCGUGGGGAGCAUCGACGCCCGGACCAGACCUUUUGUGACGGAUCCGCGGUAGAGCAUGUAUGUUGGGACCCGAAAGAUGGUGAACUAUGCCUGAAUAGGGUGAAG